UAUACUGAAAUUUCCGGAAGCCGUUUUAAGUUCACCAUAAAUAUUCACUUGUAAAGACGAAUUGUUGCUGUUUACUGCAGUAUCGGCAAACUAUUUUUUCAUAAUUUUAUGUGGGAAACUACCAUAAUCUGCAUCUAUCGAAAGAGGAAGCCAGCUUAGCGGCGCAGACUCCUGAUGUGAGUCUCGCAAAGGAUUGGCUUGAAUAAUAUUGUAUUUUAUAUACUGGAGUUGUCCAGCUUUUGCUGUUGGAUUUGUCCAGCUAGUCUGUUCAAAUAGUAGCAGAUUAUAGAUAUGUUGCGAUCAUCACUAUUCAUUGCAACUAUUUUUGUGGUCCUCCUUUCGAGCGACUUGGGAAGUGUCUCAGCACUGAUGUGUUACCAGACUCCACUUUUCGGGUUGGGAAACGCUCAAGACCAGCAACUACUAAACUGCCCAGCCGUCUUCGCAGUACACCCAGCUUGCGUGAAAACUGUCAGCAUAAUAAACGGAAAAACAAAAAUUGCGAAGACAUGCUUGCCCUGGGCCGGUGAAAUGAAGUGCACUGAGGUUACAGAGGAAGGAGUGUACGGGGCGUCCUGUUACUGCAACACCGAUUCCUGCAAUGCAGCUAAAAAAAAUUUGGCCUCCAUUGGUGUCGCAUGUACCGUAGCUCUUGCUGCUGUUCGGCAUUUUCUCAGCGCUACCUGAAAGCUGAAACUGAUUAAAACAGAAUGUGCAAGACGUUCCUAUUCAUUCUUCGAUCAGCUAAAAAUUUUUUGGCGUUUGCUAACUGGCGUUUUGUGGCGUUUGGCGUUUGCUACUUUUCAUAACUGUGAUAAACUGAGUUUUAAAAGCAUCUG